UGGAACCUGAUGAACAACUUUAAAACUUUGGGUUUGAUUCCCAGUGAAUGCAUGAACUGAACAAACCUUAAAUGCAAUGCAAGUUGCUUUGAAUUAAAUGUCAAAUAUUAAUGCAUAGAGGUCAUUUAGAUACAGAACUCUUAAAUGGUACAUUGUUAGUCUCUUUCACAAGAGUCAACACAUCGUGAUCUCUCAGCACAUAUUGGAAGAGAUUGUAAAAUGCCUUAAGGCUCAGAGAGAAUGGAAAUGGUAACUAAAAACUGAAACUGGCCUUUUACAGUGGACUGAUAUUACAAAGGGACGUCAUUAAUAACACUACAGAACUGUUAAAGUGAUCAGUUUGGCCCCUUUAAUGCAGUUUUUAAAUCUCAGAUUGGUGUUCAUGUUUUUUAUUUUUAAUUCUAAAAUCACAUAUAUUCUACAGCACGGAUGAAGAUCUGUGGUUUGAUUGGUGCUGUGGCCUGGUGGUGAUCAGAUGAGCCUCAUUUGCAUUGCUAAACAGCAUACAGGUGAAUGUCAGUAACGAUCCUUGAUUACCGCAGCCAUGCUGACCUUUCACCACCAACAAAAUAUGUGCUGCACGAUCAGAGUGCAUCGUGUGAGACUGACUGUGCUGAUGUCCCUGAAGGUCAAACACUUAACCUCGCCGUCGCUGAAGUGUGGAACUGUGCAAAUGAAAUCGAAGAGUUUGAGGAGUUAGAACAUUCACAAGCUCAGAUGAGAGCACUCAUCACUGAGUAGUGUUCAAGAUCUCUGGUCUCAGACAAGGAGAUGAACCUUCAAUGUCCUUCACCGAUCAUCAUUUCAAGUGUGGUCUGACGUGACCGAAAGAUCAUAUCUGAGCGGGUUUCUAUGUCACUGAGCAAGUAUGAAAUCCAUGUGUCAGCUGAAAUGCAAAAGGAAUCGAAAGUAUACAUCAAAACAGCAGGAAAACGACAAAUCAAGGCCAGUAUUCCAGCGUGUUGGAGGAUGCUGAGGGUGCGUGACCGCUGCCAAACAGAUUUCAUCAUCCCGUACCCUGCUGGUAAACUCUCUCGCUGUCUCCAUGCAAGAGAAACUCUGAAUUCCUUCAGCUAAUCUCACGUCUGGAUGCAGCUGUGUUUCUGCGCCGCCGGAGAACAAACUCUCGAGUCCCUGCAGGACCAGACACUUGCUAUUCUUACGUUUCUAAGUGGAGGGAAAUGUCAUUUUAAAUUAAAUAAAGGUUCGUAAACUGUUUUUCUUUUUUUUUUCUUUUUUUUUUUCACUGCAGUGUCAAAGAGCUUUUCAGUGAACAGUUUCUUAAGGAACCUUUUUUUUUUUUUUUUUUAAAUCUUUAAAGAUCUUUUUAAUAAUUUAAAAUAACCUUUUCUUUUUUUUCUUAGUGUAAAGCAUGCUUUAA
ensembl:lncRNA